UACAGGGGGUGCAAACGUUGUUCGGAAUUACUGGGCGUAAAGCGCGUGUAGGCUGCUUCGCAAGUCGGGUGUGAAAGCCCUGGGCUCAACCUAGGAAGUGCACUCGAAACUGCGAAGCUUGAGUCCUGGAGAGGAAGGCGGAAUUCUCGGUGUAGAGGUGAAAUUCGUAGAUAUCGAGAGGAACACCGGUGGCGAAGGCGGCCUUCUGGACAGUGACUGACGCUGAGACGCGAAAGCGUGGGGAGCAAACAGG
rnacentral:rRNA from 1 species